UGUUAUCCUGUCUGAAUAUGGGGGGACCAUCCUCCAAGGCUAAAUACUCCUGAUUGACCGAUAGUGAACCAGUACCGUGAGGGAAAGGCGAAAAGAACCCCGGCGAGGGGAGUGAAAUAGAACCUGAAACCGUGUACGUACAAGCAGUGGGAGCACCUUCGGGUGUGACUGCGUACCUUUUGUAUAAUGGGUCAGCGACUUAUAUUCUGUAGCAAGGUUAACCGUAUAGGGGAGCCGUAGGGAAACCGAGUCUUAACUGGGCGAAUGAGUUGCAGGGUAUAGACCCGAAACCCGGUGAUCUAGCCAUGGGCAGGUUGAAGGUUGGGUAACACUAACUGGAGGACCGAACCGACUAAUGUUGAAAAAUUAGCGGAUGACUUGUGGCUGGGGGUGAAAGGCCAAUCAAACCGGGAGAUAGCUGGUUCUCCCCGAAAGCUAUUUAGGUAGCGCCUCGUGAACUCAUCUUCGGGGGUAGAGCACUGUUUCGACUAGGGGGUCAUCCCGACUUACCAACUCGAUGCAAACUACGAAUACCGAAGAAUGUUAUCACGGGAGACACACGGCGGGUGCUAACGUUCGUCGUGAAGAGGGAAACAACCCAGACCGCCAGCUAAGGUCCCAAAGUCAUGGUUAAGUGGGAAACGAAGUGGGAAGGCUCAGACAGCCAGGAUGUUGGCUUAGAAGCAGCCAUCAUUUAAAGAAAGCGUAAUAGCUCACUGGUCGAGUCGGCCUGCGCGGAAGAUGUAACGGGGCUAAACCAUGCACCGAAGCUGCGGCAGCGACAUUUAGAUGUUGUUGGGUA
rnacentral:rRNA from 1 species